UACAGAGGUCCCGAGCGUUGUUCGGAUUCACUGGGCGUAAAGGGUGCGUAGGUGGCUUGAAAAGUUUGAUGUGAAAGCUCAGGGCUUAACCCUGAAAUGGCAUUGAAUACUGUCGGGCUGGAGGUUUGGAGGGGGGACUGGAAUUCUUGGUGUAGCAGUGAAAUGCGUAGAUAUCAAGAGGAACACCAGUGGCGAAGGCGAGUCCCUGGACAACACCUGACACUGAGGCACGAAAGCUAGGGGAGCAAACGGG
rnacentral:rRNA from 1 species